rnacentral:lncRNA from 1 species
UUAAGGUAGGAUAAUUUGGGAGAAUAGGCUUAAACCUUUGGAGUUAGGUGCCUAGGUUUCCUUAUGUUAGCAAUUUCCUUUUCAUAAAACUAUUUCUUUAUUCUAUUGGUACUAGAGAUGAUCUUUUCCAUUCUUAUUCUUUUUCUUUUUUCUUUUUUUUAAGAAGUUAUUUUAACUUCUUUAUUUCUUUUUCAUAAUUUUUUUUAUUUUUG